GUGGAUUAGAUACCCGGGUAGUCCAUGCCGUAAACGUUGGGCACUAGGUGUGGGGGACAUUCCACGUUUUCCGCGCCGUAGCUAACGCAUUAAGUGCCCCGCCUGGGGAGUACGGCCGCAAGGCUAAAACUCAAAGGAAUUGACGGGGGCCCGCACAAGCGGCGGAGCAUGCUGAUUAAUUCGAUGCAACGCGAAGAACCUUACCAAGGCUUGACAUGCGCUGGACGGCUGCAGAGAUGUGGCUUUCUUUGGACUGGUGCACAGGUGGUGCACGGCCGUCGCCAGCU
rnacentral:rRNA from 1 species